rnacentral:rRNA from 1 species
UACGUAGGGGGCAAGCGUUAUCCGGAUUUACUGGGUGUAAAGGGAGCGCAGACGGAACUGCAGGUCUGAUGUGAAAGCCCGGGGCUCAACCGCGGGACUGCAUCGGAUACUGUGGAUCUGGAGUGCCGGAGGGGCAAGCGGAAUUCCUGGUGUAGCGGUGAAAUGCGUAGAUAUCAGGAGGAACACCGGCGGUGAAGGCGGCUUGCUGGACGGCAUCUGACGUUGAGGCUCGAAAGCGUGGGGAGCAAACAGGAUUAGAUA